AUGAACGCUGGCGGCGUGCCUCAUACAUGCAAGUCGAGCGAACAGAUCAGGAGCUUGCUCCUUUGACGUUAGCGGCGGACGGGUGAGUAACACGUGGGUAACCUACCUAUAAGACUGGGAUAACUUCGGGAAACCGGAGCUAAUACCGGAUAACAUUUGGAACCGCAUGGUUCUAAAGUGAAAGAUGGUUUUGCUAUCACUUAUAGAUGGACCCGCGCCGUAUUAGCUAGUUGGUAAGGUAACGGCUUACCAAGGCGACGAUACGUAGCCGACCUGAGAGGGUGAUCGGCCACACUGGAACUGAGACACGGUCCAGACUCCUACGGGAGGCAGCAGUAGGGAAUCUUCCGCAAUGGGCGAAAGCCUGACGGAGCAACGCCGCGUGAGUGAUGAAGGGUUUCGGCUCGUAAAACUCUGUUAUUAGGGAAGAACAAAUGUGUAAGUAACUGUGCACGUCUUGACGGUACCUAAUCAGAAAGCCACGGCUAACUACGUG
rnacentral:rRNA from 1 species